AAGUCGUAACAAGGUUUCCGUAGGUGAACCUGCGGAAGGAUCAUUAACACGUUCCACGUAUCAACCCGAGCACUCGUUUUUACUCUGAUUAAGCUCCAGUUUAGCACCCUACAAACCUCGCAUUUCAGUCCGCAAACGAUAAGGAAACAGACUGAUCAAGUCUGGCGGCUGGCGAUUUGGUAUAGUCUCUUCUGCAUGCAGAGGAGAAAGGGCUCUGGAUGUCUGGUCAUGCUUCUAUUCCUUGUCGAUCUUUCACAUCAUUUACCCCAUUCCAAAACGUACUAAUUUAUAUUUCUUUCUUAAGAAAUUGGAACACUUUCUGCUGCUUUACCGCAGUCGGGAGCGCUCUAACCAACUAAGAAAAACCUUAAGAACAACUCUUAACAACGGAUAUCUUGGCUCUC
rnacentral:misc_RNA from 1 species